UGCCACGCUUUCUCCAGGAAACAAGGACAGCUGCACGGGUGCCCACACGAGAGUCGGCGACCAGCCUCGGCGGUGGGGUUCCUGCAACGCGUGUUCCUGCUGGGGUUCUCCUUUCUGCUGUUCCGAGCUACAGUGCGGAUCAUGCUCCCCAUACGUGGAGUCCAGGGACAGCACAGCCCGGGGACUGCCCAGCCAGCCAGGAAGUCUGGCUUUCAGAGAACUGGGAAGACCAUCUUCCACUUUAUCCCAUCUGGGAGACUGUAAACAUGGAUUCCACUGUCUCGGACAGUGAGACGAUUCCCAGUCUUUUCCUGUUCCUCCUCUAGAUGCUGUCUUGGACGCAGUGAAGUCUGCCGAUGGCUGUUUCAGAGCCGUUAGGAUGGUGAAGUGAGACAAUGUGAAUGGAGUGUUUUGUGAGGCUCAGUGCUGCAUAAAUGCUAGCCAUUAUCUAAUAGCAAGAAUUCCUUGAAAUGUUUCUUUCUCUCAAAUUUAUGAAAAGAUUAGAAAAUAGUUCUAAAAAUUAAAAAUGCUUCUGGUCGGAGCGGCUUACAUGAUGGCAGUGAAAGUGUGCAGCUUCAUGGGUCCCACUGCGUGCACUUGGCAUGGAGAGAACGAAAUGUGGAGGCCAGCGAUACCAAGAACACCCCUGUGAGCCGCGCUGGGUGCAGCCCCCACGGCCGGCGGGCAGUGACACCGCAGUUUCCUCUCCUGCCGGCAUCCACGCUUCCUGUGCCCAGGUGCUGGAAGCUCAGUCUUCAUGUCCCCUUCUCAGUUAUGUGUCUGUAGGGCUGGGACAGGGAAGGAAGUCAGUGAAGCUGGUUGGAUCUUCCAAGGGAUGCUCUGUGUGCAAGGCUCGGGGACAAGGAUGGCUGGGGGAGUCAGACUGUCAGUGAAGCUGAGGGGCGGAUGGAGCCUCACCACGCCUGAGUCCCUGUUUUCCAGCUGCAGAUGCUGACCCUCCAGAGCUUUGUUUACCAGCCCCUGUGACUGCGAUCUGGAGUCAGCCAGGCGUUCCUCCUUGUCCGGUAGAUUUUAUUAAGUGCUCAAUGUGUGCCAAGCCAAAUGUCCGUUUGACUUACUGCAUGUCCGAGAAGCGAUGCCGUUGAAGGAAUUUCCUCCCCAAGCCUGAAGGAAUUGAACACCAGGAAUGACUGGAACCCUGGAGAGAGAGAACUGGAUUUCUGGAGGAAAAUCACUCGUUUUAAGGAAGCAGCAUCCUGGACCCUUGAGGCCCUGGAGGAAGCGGGCAGCACAGCUCGGAGGCGGGUGUGGCUGGAGGACGGCCGUCGCACCUGCGAAAUUCUGUCUGUGGUACGUGGUUCCUUCCUGGCUCUGGGAACCACCUGGAUACUUGCAUUCUUCCCUUUUCCUUUCUAUUCUCUUUCAAGUCACCCUCCUUGAGACAGCCCUCCAGUCCAGGCCAAAUCUCAGCCUGCCCUUGGUCCGCUGUGGUUGGGCCUGCACCCAAGCCAUGAGCACACGCAGCAAUUGUGGCAGCAGAAGCUUCCUCUGGGCUCAGACUCAGGCUGAUGCUGCGUCAGGACCUGCCGCGGUCUCGGCUGGGCUUCCUGGGACUCGGUGGUUGUGGGCUGAUUGUAAAGCACGGAAUGACUCUUAGAAACUGGGCGUCAUUCUUUGUGGUUUUCCAAGCUUGGUCUCUGAUGAUACUCCAGGUCUUAGGAGACAUGCUGAAUAUUUAUUAUGCUUACAUUCAAGCAACAUUAACCCUUAAGGUUGAUGUAGCUCCCCGUCUUUUUUUCCCAGAAGGAGGAGCACUGAAGGAACACUUUUCCAGUAUGGAUUCUUUCCAGCUCCGAGAAGCUGGAGGCACACGGAUCCCUCGGCCAGCUCUCAUCUAUGGACGUGCUGUAGUCACAAGGACUGUGACUAAGGCUCAGUCCCUGAAGAGUGCCUUGGCAUGGGCUGCUUUAGGCUGUAAACACCCAGUUUUAUCCACUUUAUGUGAAGAAAGCCAACAAGGGGCAUGGAGUGAGUUCCGCAGGUUUUAGUGGCUGCGGAGGCUGGUGCUCAGUGGGGAUGAUGGAGGGAAGGCGCCUCCCUCUGCGGGCCCCGAGGUCUGUGCGGGAAUCAGCUCUGCAGUUGUGUCCAGGGGCAGCCGUAGACCACACACGGCAGGCUCACAGCUCUGUUCCAUGAGAACUUUAUACACAAAAGCAGACGGGCUGGCUUGGCCUCUGGAUCAUAAUCUGCUGACCCCUGGGUAAGAAAUUUUAAAUAUUUACUUAAUUCUGUUCAACAGAAGGGGUGAUAUACUGAGGAGUGAAUAAUGGGAAAGACCUGGUUCAGCUGUAUCAGGAAGGACUGGUGUAAAUUCAACUUAUUAACUGAAUUCACAGUAUUCGUGUUUUAUGCCUUUAGGGGUUAAAAAUGGGUCACACACGAGCAGCAUGCACUUCACUGGCGUGGCAGGGCACCUCAGUGUUUACAUGUGUGGUUCCCAUGCUUACCAGGGCUGGAGGCCCGUUAGUAGUGAAGUGCAUGUGGAGUUCUGGAUACUUUUCCUGGCUUUCUCUAUUUGUGUGAGCUUGUGCAGUUAGAGGUUUGGGCUGAAUUUGGGUAGAAAUGGGUGGCUCACAGGCUGCAAAAGUUCUGUGGACACUUUUUCCCCCAGCUGAUUAAUGUUGUAAAUAUUAGAAUAUUGUUACAUAAAAGUCUGGAUUUUUACUUUCUUUCACAUUGGAAUAGCUGCCAACAUUGGGCCUGCAUUCAUCUCUCUAGGGCAACGUUGGCUGCAGCGGAGAUGGCUGCUCCCCGGUGGGGUGUGUGCUCAGCCCGCAGCCCCCGCCCUCCGGACUCCGUUCGCCUCUGCUCUCAGCUUUGCACCUCGUCAUUGUCUUCUAAUUGUGCAUCCCUGGACUGCGUGACCUACAAGGCUCUCAGCACAACAAGACUCUAUGAUUCUGUCUAUUGGAACAAAAAGCCAGUGAGGCAAGUGUAUCAUCCUGUUGAUGAAUUCACAGAAUUAACUCUGGGAGUUGGGGACAGUUUGUAUUCUUCUUCCAGACACUCUCUGUUUCUGCUGGAUGGAAAGGUUCUGCUACUUGUCCUGUGGUCAGGCCCAGCUGAUGGAAUGGAAUGGAAGUGACUCAGCCCCUUACUGGCAGAAACUUUAAAAGCCGCACAACAUUCCUGCACCCUCCCCUCUGCCAUGAGCCUGGCAGUGCUCAGGAUGGGAAAAUUAUUUCACCUGGGCCUGAGGAUACAGGAGCUACUCCCAGCGUGCAGUGGAAGAGAAGCAUGGGCAAGUAAUUAAACUUUGUGUUUUCAAGCCACAGAGGUUUUUUGAGGUUGUUUGCUACCAUGCUUUGUCCCUACAAACACAGUCAUGGAGAAGGCCAGUGGCAGAGCCUGAGCCGUUCGUGCAUCUGUUCACCAGCAUCCAGAAUAACAAUAGAUUUUUGAAACAUUCCUGAGAAAAUUCUGGGAGUUGCAUACCGGCCAGUCUUAUUCCCUAAAGUUGUUCCUUCUAAAGGGUGGGAUGACCAAAAAUUUCAGAAAAGCAAACCACCGCUGAAAGGCAACGUUAUUUCUGUUGGCAGAAGGCGGCCUGAGCAAUCUAGAUUUUCCACGGUUCACCAACUAGUUUUUAAGGAAAUAUGGCUGUGAGAGGAAUAAAACAUAAUUCCUACCUUUAAGGAACUCAGAGAAGUGAAUUAAAGGAAGUCACAGAUCAGGCAACCAACCACACAAAGUUUCUAAGAGCAAACUGUUCAGGUCGGCAAGUCACUCUUAUCCACUGUUUUGCCUUCUGAGGUUUCAGUUACUCUCAGUCAGUCAUGGUCCAAAAACAUUAAAUGAAAAAUUCCAGAAAUAAAC
ensembl:lncRNA FAM87A family with sequence similarity 87 member A